rnacentral:rRNA from 1 species
UGGGGAAUAUUGCACAAUGGGCGCAAGCCUGAUGCAGCGACGCCGCGUGCGGGAUGGAGGCCUUCGGGUUGUAAACCGCUUUUGUUCAAGGGCAAGGCACGGCUUCGGGCCGUGUUGAGUGGAUUGUUCGAAUAAGCACCGGCUAACUACGUGCCAGCAGCCGCGGUAAUACGUAGGGUGCGAGCGUUAUCCGGAUUUAUUGGGCGUAAUGGGCUCGUAGGCGGUUCGUCGCGUCCGGUGUGAAAGUCCAUCGCCUAACGGUGGAUCUGCGCCGAGUACGAGCGGGCUGGAGUGCGGUAGGGGAGACUGGAAUACCCGGUGUAACGGUAGAAUGUGUAGAUAUCGGGAAGAACACCAAUGGCGAAGGCAGGUCUCUGGGCCGUUACUGACGCUGAGGAGCGAAAGCGUGGGGAGCGAACAGG